ACAGGGUCACGUGACUGACAGUGGAUGACGGAUGGAGAAACAAACAAACAACAUCAGCAACAAACAGAAAGGUUUCCAUACAUCAAUGCAAAAAACGGUCACUGGCAAGCAAGAAUGCAGGAAUCUGACGUCCGCACAUGCAGACAAAGACCUUGGACUACCUACGUGACUUGGACUAACCCACCAAUGAGGCACACGCCCCUGCCUCGAUCCCAGCUACUGCCCGCUCAUUGGCUCCAUCCGCGCGUGGCGCGUGGCCUCAUCUGCAUAAUUCGACGCCGGCCGUCCGACUUGGCAGUCACGUCUUCUUGCAGUCUCGGCGGUUUAUUUCGCAGUAUGUUGUUGUCAGGAGAACGUGAUUACGGGAAGCAGACUCGGGGAAGCUGGAGAAGAGGAAAAAAACCCAAAAAACGUCCGGAUUCCGUCCCACAGAGAGCGUAGUUUCAGCCGUGGAGGACAGGGCGCCGCCGGCAACACGAAGCGUGUGACUUGAAAAACACAUCGCUCUAACCACACUGUCACGCUGAUACUGCUACUGCUACUGUGCUACAACCACUCAGUUCAUGUCCCCAGAGAGCUGUCUUUGAACAAAAGAAGAGUGUCACACAAAAGACACAUCCUACAUGUCCUUCAGGCUCAACUGAUGUUCGCCAGAGAUUUACGAGUUGCAGCAUCCCCCGAGACACCGAGCCGUCAUCCUAAUCUCGCCGGCGAAUCCACCUGGU